rnacentral:rRNA from 1 species
GACGAACGCUGGCGGCGUGCUUAACACAUGCAAGUCGAGCGGUAAGGCCCUUUCGGGGGGUACACGAGCGGCGAACGGGUGAGUAACACGUGGGUGACCUGCCCUCAGCUCUGGGAUAAGCCUGGGAAACUGGGUCUAAUACUGGAUAUGACUCCACGGUGCAUGUCGUGGGGUGGAAAGCCUUGUGCGGCUGAGGAUGGGCCCGCGGCCUAUCAGCUUGUUGGUGGGGNGAUGGCCUACCAAGGCGACGACGGGUAGCCGGCCUGAGAGGGCGACCGGCCACACUGGGACUGAGACACGGCCCAGACUCCUACGGGAGGCAGCAGUGAGGAAUAUUGGACAAUGGGCGCAAGCCUGAUCCAGCCAUGCCGCGUGAGUGAAGAAGGCCUUAGGGUUGUAAAGCUCUUUCAG